AUAGCGACAUAUUAAGCGUAACAACCUCCAUAAAAGACACCCCUAAAUCGAAAAUAAAAUAACAUCCAAUGAAUGAUGAAAUAUUUACCCAGCUCGCUUUGAUCUUAAGUGAAGAAAACUUCCGAACCAACGCAAAAGAAGUCUCUGAACCCAAACUAAUAUAAAAUGUUUUCGAUUUGGUGUAAACUUUUUUAAUAGCGUUAUGUAUUUCUCUUACAGAACGCAGUGGAUGGAAUUAUCAUUUUGCCCCUUCAUUCAAUCAGUCGAAGCGUCGCUUUCGCACACGCAAUUCUAGAUUCAAAAUACGAUUUGUUAUUUAGGUUUUGAAACGCGUAAAGAAUUUAACUGCGCACACUGCUUGAGGAACUUUCAGGUUUUGAAAUGUGAAAAGAAUUUAACAGCGGACGCUGCUUGAGGAACUUUGAGAACGCAGUGGAUGGAAUUAUCAUUUUGCCCCUUCAUUCAAUCAGUCGAAGCGUCGCUUUCGCACACGCAAUUCUAGAUUCAAAAUACGAUUUGUUAUUUAGGUUUUGAAACGCGUAAAGAAUUUAACUGCGCACACUGCUUGAGGAACUUUCAGGUUUUGAAAUGUGAAAAGAAUUUAACAGCGGACGCUGCUUGAGGAACUUUGAGAACGCAGUGGAUGGAAUUAUCAUUUUGCCCCUUCAUUCAAUCAGUCGAAGCGUCGCUUUCGCACACGCAAUUCUAGAUUCAAAAUACGAUUUGUUAUUUAGGUUUUGAAACGCGUAAAGAAUUUAACUGCGCACACUGCUUGAGGAACUUUCAGGUACAUAAGUUAACAAAUUUAAAUUAAGCAAGGUAACAUGGUUAUUUAUUUUCGAUAUUGGAUUUGUUUAAAGUGUAUUUUAGUCCACUAGAACGACUUUUUAGUUAAUAUACGGCUCGAUUUUACCUCAAUAAAUAAAGCAAUAAUAAAUAUAACAAAGUUUUA
rnacentral:sRNA from 1 species